rnacentral:rRNA from 1 species
AGUGAACGCUGGCGGUAGGCCUAACACAUGCGAGUCGAACGGCAGCACAGUAAGAGCUUGCUCUUACGGGUGGCGAGUGGCGGACGGGUGAGGAAUACAUCGGAAUCUACUUUUUCGUGGGGGAUAACGUAGGGAAACUUACGCUAAUACCGCAUACGACCUACGGGUGAAAGCAGGGGAUCUUCGGACCUUGCGCGAUUGAAUGAGCCGAUGUCGGAUUAGCUAGUUGGCGGGGUAAAGGCCCACCAAGGCGACGAUCCGUAGCUGGUCUGAGAGGAUGAUCAGCCACACUGGAACUGAGACACGGUCCAGACUCCUACGGGAGGCAGCAGUGGGGAAUAUUGGACAAUGGGCGCAAGCCUGAUCCAGCCAUACUGCGUGGGUGAAGAAGGCCUUCGGGUUGUAAAACCCUUUUGUUGGGAAAGAAAAGCAGCAGGUUAAUACCCCGCUGUUCUGACGGUACCCAAAGAAUAAGCACCGGCUAACUUCGUG